GUCCCAUGGUGCACUGCUGGCAGCCAGACAGGACUGGGAGACAUGGUGAGGCCUUCAUGACAACCACAAUGGGAAUAAGUCUCUGACUUUAAUGUGUCAAUGAAUACCUACAUCUGCCUUGUUUCCAGGCCCAGGAUUAUAGGGUCCUGCAAGAGAGAUCAGGCCCAGCUCUGGCUGCAGGAGAAGGAGGAGGAGGAGGAGGAGGAGGAGGAAGAAGAGGAAUCCUCUGUCUUUCAACAACAGGUUAUGUCUAGUAUCUGUCAGUAACACUGCUGUUGGCUCUUUGUUUUACUGUUAUAUGCCUCCCUCCCGCCCCUCUCUGCUACUGGAGUUUGACCUCUAGCCUCUGACCUCUGACCAGGUGGUGCUGAGGUGUCUGGUACUGAAUCAGGAGCGGGAGAGAAAGUGUCUGCUGAGGCUGCUGCACGGGGACUCCCCAGACAAGCUACAGGGACCAGGAGAGCAGAAGUCACCUACAGAGGGUCAGUCUGUAUAUCAAAUAUAGCUAAAUGACUGCUUUUAUCUAUCUGGAUCUCUGCUAUUAUCUGUAAUGUAAUCAGUGAUGUCCAGUAACCAGUUGUGUGACUGUGAUCUGUGAGGUGUUGUGUUAGCAGAGUGUGUCCAGCAAAGGGAGGGGGUGCUGAGAGCGGGGUGUAUGAGCAGGCUGAGACACACACACACCUUCCUGCUGACUCAGGCCCAAACACAUGCCCAGCUCCAGUCCUGUCUUCAGCCCCAAACCCUGCCAGCACAGGGCCCUGCCCAGCCCCAGGCCCAAACCCAAUCCUCCCUCCAGCACCAGUCCCAGUGGGGAGGCUGUGCUCUGGUCCUGCUGGUUGAGCUGAUGGAUCUCCAGGAGGCCCAGGUCUCUGCAGUGCUGUCAACUCUACUGGACAGGGGUGAACAGUGCCUGCUGUCCCUGAUAGAAGAGUAUGAGUCUGAACUCAGAGAGCCUCGUCUCUCCUGCUUGCUCACACUCCUCACCUCUAACCCCUGCCUGACCUCAGACCCCAACACACUACUGACUAUUGUUGACCCCUGCCUGGGGCCUUCUGACUCAAUCUCAGUCCAGAACAUCUCCUCAGCCUCCCCGCCCACAGACCUGACCAGAGGUGACCCAGAAUACCAACACACAGGGGACCUCUGCACAGGCUGUGGGACGGCCCUGGCCCCGGAGGACCUGCCCUAUCUGGAGAUCCUGUGUGUUUCAGACACCAUCCACUCCCUCGACACACACCACACACCCUCUGCCUCCAAUGGAUUCUCUGCAGAGCGAGAGGUGUGUGAGGGACGAGAGGCGAGGGAGGGCAGCCACAGAAAGACUCCUCAGAGCUAUGAGAAGCAGGGUUCUCUCAUCACUCUGGCCUGGAGCAAACCACCGGAUGGAGACACUGAGCAGCAGACAGGAACAGUAAGAUAUGCUACAUUACCUCACACACAGAUCUACAAUCAGAAACACUACCUGGGCUCACACAGAUCUAGGAUCAGAAACACUACCUCACACAGAUCUAGGAUCAGAAACACUAACGCACACCAGACCUGGCAUAGUUUUAACUAUGCUUAAUUGAAAGUAACUAUUUUUCCAGGGGAACAAAUAG
rnacentral:lncRNA from 13 species